GGCGGGCACGAACCCCUUCAACGCGGUGACGGGGCUGCAGCUGUCAGCGAUCCCACGGCACGGGCGGAGUACCCGCGCCCACCUUUGCGCUGCGGUGUCUGCUCUGCAGGUGCGGACGCUUCGGCGCCACGCUGCUGCUUGAGCUGGGCAGGAGCGCUCGCAGUAAUACUAUUUCCUCAUGUGGGCACAGUUAAAAGAAGACUUCUAAACAACAACAACAACAAAGAUUCUUUGCAUCACCACAGCAGCUGCCCAGACAUGCUUUAUCCCUUCAGCAUCCCCACGGGAAAUUCAAGGAAAUUUAUUCUGUUAGUGAAAGACUUUGGCCCCUGCACAGUUCAGUGCACCCUUUUCACAUCAGUGUUUGUCUCAGAAACACCCCUAAACAGCACGCCAGCGCUCCUGCCUCAUAGCUUCCUGGACUAAUGACAGAGUAACUUCUUGCGUGGGACCCUCAUGGGUGCUGCCAUGUCGUGGGCCAUAAAAACAAACGAUUUUGCCUGUGUGGAUAACCACUGCCCACAGUUCAUUGCAUCUGGUCUUCGACACAAACGGACAGAGCGCAAUAUAACCACAGCUGAUCCCCUCGAUUGUUACUGGGCUCUCCACCUCCUCCAACAGUCAUCAUUACUUUGCGACAGAGAGCAGCAGCCACAGAUCAACAGCCUCUUAGCGGUCAGCAACACUCCUUCUCUCCUAAGCGAGGUAUCUUUUGUUGUUUUUCUCAACGGUAGCUUUGCUUUGAGCUGGGUAACAAAUGCUUAUGUUCAACAGCUGACUCCCACGGAGCUGGUAUGGCCACGUAUGUCCAGCCAUUAACUGAAGAGCUUUGCUCCCCAGUCUCUUGAAUAGGUCAGGGCAUGCUGGAAACACACUGCAGUAAAGCUCCCCAGGCACUUAAGUUCUUUCGGCUUAACCAUCAGGCGAGCCUGGGCAUUAUGUUUCCAGAAGAGUCUAGCACAGCUCUUACUCAGAAACAGCCAGGUUCUUCCAGAAAGAUCUGGCUUGCGAAGCUCCAUCUUGAACAAAGUACUUGCUAAAUCUUCACCAUAAAACAUAUUUGUGUCCUACUGCUGUAACAAAAGCUAUUAAGUACCCUUUCCAGAAGUUAUUUUUGCUGCAUGUAACUUCCUAGGCUGCAAAUAUUAAAAAGAAGGGAGGCCUGAGGCACUAUCAUUUAACAUUUAACAUGUUAACAUUUGGUAUGCUUCAAUGGGCAGUCUCCAACAGGAAGCUGCAUUAUCUUUAUUUAUGGAGGGCAAGUAAGUACAGUCUCAAAAUCACAAGCUUCUUUCUGCGUUUGUUUGUAUUAAAAGGGUACUUUUCAGGAUUAAUUCUAAACUAAAGCCGGGAUUUGAUCAACAGUCGCAUCGCUUAGCGUUGCUCAGAGAGAUGUGACCGAUCUCAAAACCGUGUCAACUGAGUAAAAUGGAAACCCCCUUAAAACAAGAACUGAAGAGUCACCUUCACCUAGAUGCUGCUCUGGCUCGCUGUGUGACUCGCUUCUGGGUUACUUACCAAAGCACGCAAAACCGAGCCCUCAGCAAGAGGGCACCCGGGCCUCCCAAGGAAGCCCCAGAUCCACCAGCCCACUCUCACACGCCCCCGCGGCUCACAGACUCGAGCCGGGCGGGCUCCC
ensembl:lncRNA